UCAGCGUCCACUUCAGUAAAGAUGCCAGCUGUGCUGUAUUUUGAGCAAUUAAACUCUUUAUUCCUAGAUUUGGCUGUAAUCAAGCUUGGUUUGGCAGGAGCUCCUAGAAAGCACAUUUGGCCAGCUGGCAGGUCAGGCACCGUCCCCCCUUUAGUUGCAUUUUAUGUGUAAAAAUUAUUAUAAACAAAAAUGUUUUGAUGUUUUUUU